AACGAACGCUGGCGGCAUGCCUAACACAUGCAAGUCGAACGAGACCUUCGGGUCUAGUGGCGCACGGGUGCGUAACGCGUGGGAACCUGCCCUUAGGUUCGGAAUAACUCCCCGAAAGGGGUGCUAAUACCGGAUAAUGUCUUCGGGCCAAAGAUUUAUCGCCUUUGGAUGGGCCCGCGUUGGAUUGGCUAGUUGGUAGGGUAAAAGCCUACCAAGGCGACGAUCCAUAGCUGGUCUGAGAGGAUGAUCAGCCACACUGGGACUGAGACACGGCCCAGACUCCUACGGGAGGCAGCAGUGGGGAAUAUUGGACAAUGGGCGAAAGCCUGAUCCAGCAAUGCCGCGUGAGUGAUGAAGGCCUUAGGGUUGUAAAGCUCUUUUACCCGGGAUGAUAAUGACAGUACCGGGAGAAUAAGCUCCGGCUAACUCCGUG
rnacentral:rRNA from 1 species